ACUACGCCCAUGGACGUCAGUAUAAAUUAACCAUUGUCUAUUAAUCUUCUGGUAAACUGGUCCCGUCGGCUCAUGCCGGAUGUGACGCAGUGAAAAUGUGACUUCCCGGACAUUGAAGCGGACUGAACAGAAAGUGGAAGACAGUGAAUCGCAAUGAACACCCGAGGACUCCGCUCUCAGCUGAAAGACAGUAUACCUGUGGCAGGCCUCUGUCCUCAGGGACAGUAUGGGGUCCAGGACUCUCUGCGGAGCGGCUUCACUAGUGCCAAGAAUGAGCUCCUGCCCGCCACCCCUUGGAGCUGU